rnacentral:lncRNA from 1 species
AAGGUAACUUAUCCCUGUCUAGCUGAUAUGUAAAAAGUAUAAAAAGGUAACACCAACAAAACAGUUUGAAGGCAAAAAUCACAAAUAAUAAUUCAAAAACAAAUAUAAGGAAAAGACACAUGCAGUAAUCUGAAAUACAGAUUGUUUCUGAUGCUUGAAGAAAAAAACCCAUUUCAUGCUAAUAUAAAUAUUAUGCUUUUAGGUGAAAAAACGCACUGCUUAUUUUCUUCAAGUCAAAAUGCCUUAAAGGAGCAGUAUCUUGAAUGUGACGUGGCAGACUCAAGGGGAUGCUCUUCAACAUAAAGCAUCAGAAGCCUGAGUAACAUUUUCUGAUCUUGACUCUACGUGACAAGUCGAAAAGAAUUUUUUUCAAUUUAGUUUUUACCAAGUCAGAUUCUAUUUGACAAUAUGGCAGCACUACACAUGGAAAGUAACUUAUUACUUUGGGCAUCUAGUUUAAAUAGAGACAAUCCAUAAUGUGCAUGUGAAAAAAAAUGGCCACUGUUCUUGAAGCAUUGCCCUUGAGCAAGCAACAAGUUUAAAUCUGUCAGUGUGGAAGAAAUUGUUUUUUCUUAAUUGCUUAAUUGUUAACCCUAGGAGAAAAUGACAAUAAAAUUCUACUUCAAAAUGUUUAUGUUUUUGGAAUUACAGGUACAUGUAGAAACCAUAAGUGGAACACUGUAUUAACUGAAUAUCAUUGAGAAACUUCAAGCAAACAUGUUACUGAUAUAAAUUAAAGAAUAAUUGAAAAGGAAAAGACCUCCUUCCUUUUUUCCCCAAAAGAUUAAAACUUCUGCAUAGGUCGCUUCCAAGAUGGACGAAUAGGAACAACUCCAACCUACAGCUCCCAGCGAGAUUGAUGCAGAAGAUGGGCGAUUUCUGCAUUUCCAACUGAGGUCUCUGAAGAAUCUCCAUACCAUCUUCCACAAUUGUUGAACUAAUUUACACUUCCAGUAACAAUGUGACCAACAACACAUGGAAGCUGCCAAGGCUUGGGGUUUACACCCUCUGAAGCAAUGGCCUGAGCUGCACCUUGGACCUUUUUAGCCAAAGCUGAAGCAGCUGAGAGGCAAGGCCCCAAGUCUCAGGCUUCACACAGUAGGGGGCACCUGGACCUAGCCCAGGAAACUAUUUUUCCCUUAAUGGCAUACCCUCCCAUCACAGGCCCAGAAGCCUAGGACAUAACCUGGAGGCAUUUUCCCCUUUGUCUUGGUGAUUAGAUGCAGCACCCCCAGGGGGAACUUUGCCCCUCCCAUUUGGGCACAACCACUGAAGACUUCCUCAUCUUUGCCACAUAAAAGCCCCAGAACACAGCCCCAUUUCUGGCAACCCUCUUUGGGUCCCCUCUCUUUGCUGAGAACUUUUCUGUUGCUUAAUAAAACUUUGCUCUACAUUAUUCCUUCUCUGGUGUCUGCGUGCUUUAUUCUUCUUGGUCAUGGGACAAGAACUUAGACCUAGUUGAACUGAGGAGCGAUUAGGCUGCAACACUAAUAUCAACCAAAAAAUUAGAGAACAAAGGGCAAACAGACCUCAAAGCUAGCAGAAGACAAGAAACAACCCAAAUCAGAGCAGAUCUGAAGGAGACGGAGACACAGUAAAACUACCCUAAGAACAAUGAAUCCAGGAGGUUGUUUUUUUAAAAAAUUAAUAAAAUAGCUCACCAGCUAGACUAAUAAAGAAGAAAAGAGAAG